CACUCCUGAUGAGGAUGAUCUUAUCAUCCGCCCCAUGCCCUUCUCGGAAACUGCUGGUCACUCAUUGCCGGAAGAUUACCGGGCCGAACUGAUAAUGAAAUCAAGAAUUAUUGGAACUCCCAUCUCAGCAAAAGACUCAAUUGGAACUCCCAUCUCAGCAAAAGACUCAACAACACCUCAGGAAAGAGAAGUUCCAGCAGCGAAAGCAAGAAGAAGAAGAAGAACGACAAGAACAAGGAGGGUAAUCAAGGUACUGCAAAUCGGAAGACUACAAAGACAAAGAUUGAUCUCCCAAAGGCAGUCAGGGUUACUUCAGUCUCAAUUUCUAGAACAAGCAGUACUAAUAGCAUGAGAGGUAGCUCAUCUAGUCAUGCAGGAAGAGGUGAUACAGAAGUCCAUAAUCUUCCAUGGUUAGGAAUGGGUUACUCUAAUCUUGAGGCUGGAAAUGGCAUCAAUGAUGGAGAGCCUUUACCUUGCAAUAAAAAUCAUAAUCUUUUGAUGGCUAUGCCCCUUCAUGCCAAAAUUACAUAUCCACAGAUGAAAACGUGCUGGAUGAGAUGUUUGAGGAAUAUGAGCAGCUCCGCAAGACUGAUAACUAUGCUCAAUUGGACUCCUUUAUUGAUUCCCUACUGGCUUGAGAGUGCUAAAUAAAAUGAAAACUCGUGUGGAUUAUUAUAUUAUAGCCUGCUUUGUUUAGAUUCCACUUACUAGUCUUGUCUUAAUGUCCGAUCCUUCCCUUCUCGAUCGGCAGGUCAUCAUUAUUCUGUAUGUGGUUGUAAGUGUAAAACAAGAACUAUAUGUAGAUCACUUUUCUCCUUUGUACCUUUAGGGUAUGUGCAAUAAAAUCACAAGAAAGAACCUAAAAAACCUCCAG
rnacentral:misc_RNA from 1 species